UACGAAGGGGCUAGCGUUGCUCGGAAUUACUGGGCGUAAAGCGCACGUAGGCGGAUUGUUAAGUCGGGGGUGAAAUCCUGGAGCUCAACUCCAGAACUGCCUUCGAAACUGGCGAUCUUGAGUCCGGGAGAGGUGAGUGGAACUGCGAGUGUAGAGGUGAAAUUCGUAGAUAUUCGCAAGAACACCAGUGGCGAAGGCGGCUCACUGGCCCGGUACUGACGCUGAGGUGCGAAAGCGUGGGGAGCAAACAGG
rnacentral:rRNA from 1 species